UACGUAGGGGGCUAGCGUUGUCCGGAAUCAUUGGGCGUAAAGAGCGUGUAGGCGGCUCGGUAAGUCCGCUGUAAAAGUCAAAGGCUCAACCUUUGAAUGUCAGUGGAUACUGCCGGGCUAGAGUCCGGAAGAGGCGAGUGGAACUCCUGGUGUAGCGGUGGAAUGCGCAGAUAUCAGGAAGAACACCGACGGCGAAGGCAGCUCGCUGGGACGGCACUGACGCUGAGACGCGAAAGCGUGGGGAGCGAACAGG
rnacentral:rRNA from 1 species